AUACGGAGGGGGUUAGCGUUGUUCGGAAUUACUGGGCGUAAAGCGCACGUAGGCGGAUUGGAAAGUUGGGGGUGAAAUCCCAGGGCUCAACCCUGGAACUGCCUCCAAAACUAACAGUCUAGAGUUCGAGAGAGGUGAGUGGAAUUCCAAGUGUAGAGGUGAAAUUCGUAGAUAUUUGGAGGAACACCAGUGGCGAAGGCGGCUCACUGGCUCGAUACUGACGCUGAGGUGCGAAAGCGUGGGGAGCAAACAGAAUUAGAAACCCUAGUAGUCC
rnacentral:rRNA from 1 species